AGCUCGGAGUCCUCUAGGGCAGCGUGGCCGGCGUGGCCGCUCGCCGCGCCGCUGCAGCCGCAGCUGGUGUGCGAAACUGGCGCCAUGCUCCGCCCCUUUUGAAGUGCAGCGGCUGUCAAGGUGGACCAUGCCUGCUUCCGGCGUUGUGCUCGUCGCGACCCUUUUGACGUCGUCCGGUGAUGUCACAUUGAUCUCGGACGUGCGUCAAUGAUCUUUUAUUCGCACGGACACCCGCAAAGCAAAGCGAUACUUGUCACUCACCAGAGCAGUAAAGAGAGACAAGCCGUAGUGACGGGAUCAUCGCUGCCCUUCCAUUUGUUGUUGCUGCUACCGCAAACGUCAUACUGUCUCCUUUCCUCGCUUCGAGUGGUGGUGUGUAUUCGUUCGGCGCUUGGGACGUCAGUGCGUUGUGAGUUCUCAUGCUGCAGCUGAUCACACCAAGGCAAGACUGAAAUACAAGUGUGUGACACUGACAGGGAUCUCGCAUACGACGACACUCGACAGUUGCAGCGUGUGAUUGUUGAUUCCGCGCAUUGGAUUUAACGCGGCGAUCGUUUCUUUUUGUGUUGUGACCAACCUUUCAAGCAGUGCCUGGACCUCGCGCUUACCAGUUUACAACGUGCCUGUACCCGACACCGUAAGGCGGACGUGCACUUGACUUACGUUGGAUUGAGUUAUCGUGUGUGCUCGAGCUGCUGCACUCCCAUGGACGUAUACACUUGAGCUAAGUGCACAGGAUCGAGUCCCACAUUCUGGACGACGCCGAUCGUCGCGAUGAGCACAAGCGUGGGCGGCUGGACACUGUGCGCAACAGUGUGACUUCGAGUGGUGGGGGGCAGCCUACGGGCCGGCACGAGUAGCCCUGGUGGUGGCUCCUCCCAGCAGAGCCCUAAGGUAGCGGGCGAUCUCAAGGUGGCCUCGGGCGGUGAGGAUCAGCGCUCUUCGGAGAAGUGGGCCCACCCUGAGGACCUGCAUGACGAAAAACAAGGCCAAGGUCAAGAACGGCAGCCGUAAGCGAGACCACUCGGUGGAAAGCGCACCAGGAGGCAAGCGCAAGAAGCACGAGAAUGGAGCCAACAGCUCGAGCAAGCGCAAUGGAGAGGACGUCAAGGAGAAGGAUCGCUAUAGGAGGGUGAGGGAUGCGCAGUCCUUUCCAGGAAUGCCUCAUGACCAGCCACUCUCCUCUCUCCAGGAAGAGGUGUCACCCAAAAUGGGGAACGGAGAGCAGAUCGUGACGAUAAGAAACAAUAUC
rnacentral:lncRNA from 1 species